rnacentral:rRNA from 1 species
ACUCCUACGGGAGGCAGCAGUGGGAAUAUUGGACAAUGGGACGGAGCAUCAUCAGCCAGCUGUGUGUAAGAAGGCCUUAUGGUUGUAAAGCACUUUAAGCGAGGAGGAGGCUACUGAGACUAAUACUCUUGGAUAGUGGACGUUACUCGCAGAAUAAGCACCGGCUAACUCUGUGCCAGCAGCCGCGGUAAUACAGAGGGUGCGAGCGUUAA